AUUAGAUCUCUUUUAACUAAACUAUAGAUUAGAUGGCCCCAAAUGAAUACUAUAUUGGAAGAUAAAUCUCGGAGACAACGAGGGGCAAAGAGGAUUUACAUGAUGAUGAAGACACAGUGAGACAACAUAAUUAGUGUCACAUUAAAGAGAUCAACGUUGGGGUGGUAGGCUCAUGAUUGUUCUUUUGACUUAAGGAAACACAAUUGAUGAAAGCCAAGCACAAGAAAGACAAGGCUCUAAGGGGUUUUCAUGCUUGCUUCCUUUGGACCCCUUUAGCACUUGCCUGCCUUAAAGUUUUUUCCACCAAACAUAUAUAGCUUGUGUUAACUUCAAGGACAAAAAGAAGCAUUUUUAGAAGGUAGCACUUGGACAUGAUCACUCUUAUAUGUAUAUAUGUGCAUACGUUGUGUUGGAAAAUGUUGG
rnacentral:lncRNA from 1 species